UGUUUUGAGCAGGAGUUACUUUUUUAUUUCCAGAAAGCCUUAUGAUGGGAUUAUGUGGAAGGGCUAGAAGAGGCUGCAAAACAGGAAAUGGAAUCCUCCCAUGAAGGCAGGAACCAAAUCAAAACUGGAAUAAGAGAAGGGGAUGGAUGUAGUUUGUUGAUGGAAAAAGGAGGCUCAGAGGGAUUAAGAGAAUUUCUCAAGCUUUCAUGGGAAGAAUAGAGUUGACACUCAAACUCAUGGCUCCUCAUUUCAAGUUCAGGAGUUUUUCCAUCUCCACUCACCUGCUUGGUGGUGAUGCCUCGCUUCCUAGAUGUAGUUUAAACAUUUGUUUUGACUUUGAAGAUCCUCUGCAAAAUGGCCUAUUCAUAUUUCCCCAGUACUCUCUAAUUCAUAUCAAGCCAAAUUACUCUCAAGAUUGUCAACGUAUUUAAUCCUUCACGAGGCUUAUUGGUUUGGGUAAUUUUAUUAACCAUCUUCCAUAAUGCCCUCCACCAGACCAGCAUAAGCCAUUGAAAUGUCAUCUUAUAAUAAACCUCAAAUGCCA